CCCAGGAUGAGAGAGAUAAGCACUUGCUAAGAGCCUUCCUGGUGCUGAGCCUUCUAUGUGUGCUCCAAGCCCCACGUACUGAAGGUUGGAUUCCUAGCCUGUAGCUCUCAGAGACGUAGAGGAGCUUUUAGAAGCUGGUGUCUGAUGGAAAGGAGACACAUCCCAUGUCUACCUUGAAGACAGAACCUCAAGCCUAGUAUGGCAGAAGUUGCUGGGGAAAGACAUGUGAGUGAUCAGAGCACAGAGGGGAGAGACAACCACCGCCCUCCUCCACUACAGGACCCAUGUCUCCGACCUAUAUGUCUCAAGACUGUACAGUGUCUGAUGUUUCCUUCUCAUCCCUCUGGCUUGGAAAUGGCAAUGGCUGUGUGUAGUUGUGGACACAUGUAUUGACGUAAACAGCCCAUCCGCUUGGUUCCUGGACAGCUUCUGAGGAGGUCAGUGGUUCUACCUGGGUCUUGAGUGGGGUUGUGGGAAAACGUUUCUCAGCUCAAUUGACAGAGCAUCCCUGUCAGAGCACCUUUGCCCUGUUUUAGGAAGUAGAAAUAACUCCCAGGUUAUUGAGUUUGCCAUCUGUGAACUUUGCAGGGGAAGCAGCUUGCUAAGGCUUGUAGCAGAGACUUCA
rnacentral:lncRNA from 1 species